CGGGCAGAUCGGGUGAUCGCGUGCCGGCCUCUUUCGGGAGGCUGGCUCGAGGAAAGUCCGGACUCCGCAGGGCGGCGCGCCUGGUAACGCCAGGGGGUCGGAUUCGCGAGGAUCCGGCCACGGAAAGUGCCACAGAAACCAGACCGCCCGCGCUCGCUGGCCUCCAUGGCCGGCCCGAGGCAAAACCUAGGGCUGGUCGAGAUCGGCCAGGGAGCGCGAGCAAGGGUGAAACGGUGGGGUAAGAGCCCACCGCGCCCCGAGCGAUCGGGACGGCAUGGAAAACCCCGCGUGGAGCAAGGCCAAAUAGGAGGGAAGGGCCGGCCCGGCCCGUCAAACCCUCGGGUAGGCCGCUUGAGCCCGGCAGCAAUGCCCGGCCCAGAGGAAUGAUCGCCCCGAAGCGCAGUCCGCAAGUUGGGACGCGCUCCGGACAGAAUCCGGCUUAUAGAUCUGCCCUCCAA
rnacentral:RNase_P_RNA from 1 species